ACGCAUCAAGCCUGUUGCCCAAAUCUCGUGAGUGAAAAAACAAAUAAGAAGCCUGUUGCCAAAACCUUUCCGAAACUCCAUCAAAGCCCCACCGAAUGGCUUCUCCCGCGCCACCAAGCUCCGCCGCCGGCGCCCAAAACCCUAGUAACAAAUCCCUGAACUUCCUCGCCAAUGCAAUGAAGAGGAAGGACAGCUUCAUACAGUUCUUCGCCAUGACAGGAAUACUCCUCCUGAGCGUCAGAUCGCUGGGUCAGAAGUACCGCCUCAACGACCUCCAAGAAGACACCUCUGCCCUCAGAGAAGAGCAAAAAGGCCUUGAGAAUCGAAUGAAGCACAUCAAGAGCAGCCUACUAGCCGAAGCCGCCGCGGAUCCCACCGGUUCCUUUGCUUCCAGGCUGAGACUUCUCUUCGCCGACAGCGAUUGAUUCCAGGUGAUGAUGUGGGAUAAGGAUUGUUUGCAGUUGUAGCAAAUACCAAUGAAAUGCUUCAACUUGAUAAGAUACGGAUUUUAAGGAGGUUUCAUUUUCCUCUCUUUCUUUGUGGAAAAAAUGGAGGGAAUGUAUGGGUUUUUAUGCUGGAUUACGUGGAAAACAAAUUGACCAUUGAAAGAGGCAGAGACUCUCAUGGUUUGUCUAUCUAAUUUCAGGACUUGGUAUUGACAUAUGGCAAGGUUCCACAAGGGACAAGAUGGUGGAUUUUAGGAAAGAAUCUGUAUAUCUUUGUUCACAUGAUUGAGGGCUUGUUCGGAGGACAUAGCUUUUGUGAGAAAGAUGUGGCUGUCGUGACCUAGGAGCCAAAAAGAAUUACGAGCCAAAUGGUGAAAAUAAAUUCUGCUCUUUUCUGCUUUCCACUCGGUAGUUUGUCGAAAGAUUGUAAUGGAAUCUUAGUGAUGUUACAUUGAAUCCAUUGGCUAAUUCUUCAGCUUAAAUGUGCAAGUAAACUUGUGUAGGGAAUGUAGACUCUUUUUCUUCCUGUUUUUUAUUUGACGUGCCAGUCCGUUAACAUA